GUCGAGCGGUAACAGGUUUCCCGCAAGGGAGAUGCUGACGAGCGGCGAACGGGUGAGCAAUACAUGAACAAUCUGCCCUGAAGCUUGGAAUAGCGUCUGGAAACGGACGGUAAUACUGGAUGUGGUCGCCCUCCGCAUGGGGGGUUGUCUAAAGCCGGGGACCGCAAGGCCUGGCACUUCGGGAUGGGUUCAUGUCCUAUCAGCUAGUUGGCGGGGUAACGGCCCACCAAGGCAAAGACGGGUAGCUGGUCUGAGAGGAUGGUCAGCCACAUUGGGACUGAGAUACUGCCCAGACUCCUACGGGAGGCAGCAGUGGGGAAUAUUGGACAAUGGGCGAAAGCCUGAUCCAGCCAUGCCGCGUGUGUGAAGAAGGCCUUUUGGUUGUAAAGCACUUUAAGCGAGGAGGAGGAGCUCUAGGUUAAUACCCUGGAUGCUUGGACGUUACUCGCAGAAUAAGCACCGGCUAACUCUGUGCCAGCAGCCGCGGUAAUACAGAGGGUGCAAGCGUUAAUCGGAUUUACUGGGCGUAAAGCGCGCGUAGGCGGCUAAUUAAGUCAAAUGUGAAAUCCCCGAGCUUAACUUGGGAAUUGCAUUCGAUACUGGUUAGCUAGAGUGUGGGAGAGGAUGGUAGAAUUCCAGGUGUAGCGGUGAAAUGCGUAGAGAUCUGGAGGAAUACCGAUGGCGAAGGCAGCCAUCUGGCCUAACACUGACGCUGAGGUGCGAAAGCAUGGGGAGCAAACAGGAUUAGAUACCCUGGUAGUCCAUGCCGUAAACGAUGUCUACUAGCCGUUGGAUCGUGAGGGUUCAGUGGCUAAGCAAAAGUGAUAAGUAUCCCACCUGGGGGAGUACGUUCGCAAGAAUGAAACUCAAAGGAAUUUGA
rnacentral:rRNA from 1 species